UGGGGAAUAUUGCACAAUGGGGGAAACCCUGAUGCAGCAACGCCGCGUGAGUGAAGAAGUAUUUCGGUAUGUAAAGCUCUAUCAGCAGGGAAGAAGAUGACGGUACCUGAUUAAGAAGCCCCGGCUAACUACGUGCCAGCAGCCGCGGUAAUACGUAGGGGGCAAGCGUUAUCCGGAUUUACUGGGUGUAAAGGGAGCGCAGACGGCAGUGCAAGUCUGGAGUGAAAGCCCGGGGCCCAACCCCGGAACUGCUCUGGAAACUGUGCGGCUAGAGUACUGGAGGGGCAGGCGGAAUUCCUAGUGUAGCGGUGAAAUGCGUAGAUAUUAGGAGGAACACCAGUGGCGAAGGCGGCCUGCUGGACAGUAACUGACGUUGAGGCUCGAAAGCGUGGGGAGCAAACA
rnacentral:rRNA from 1 species